CGCGAAUGGCUCAUUACAACAGCCGUUGUUUCUUGGAUCUCCGCAAUACUUGGAUAACUGUGGUAAUUCUAGAGCUAAUACACGCAAUCGAGCUCCGACCGUAAGGGACGAGCGCAUUUAUUAGAACAAAACCAAUCAGUGCUUGCACUGUGGUUUGGUGAAUCUGAAUAACUGAGCAGAUCGCUUCGGUCUCGUACCGGCGAUGUAUCCUUCAAGUGUCUGCCUUAUCAACUUUCGAUGGUAGUUUAUGUGCCUACCAUGGUUGUAACGGGUAACGGAGAAUUAGGGUUCGACUCCGGAGAGGGAGCCUGAGAAACGGCUACCACUUCCAAGGAAGGCAGCAGGC
rnacentral:rRNA from 1 species